rnacentral:rRNA from 1 species
AGAGUUUGAUCCUGGCUCAGGACGAACGCUGGCGGCGUGCUUAACACAUGCAAGUCGAACGGUAAGGCCCUUCGGGGUACACGAGUGGCGAACGGGUGAGUAACACGUGGGUAAUCUGCCCUGCACAUCGGGAUAAGCCUGGGAAACUGGGUCUAAUACCGAAUAGGACCACAGGACACAUGUCCUGUGGUGGAAAGCUUUUGCGGUGUGGGAUGGGCCCGCGGCCUAUCAGCUUGUUGGUGGGGUGAUGGCCUACCAAGGCGACGACGGGUAGCCGGCCUGAGAGGGUGUCCGGCCACACUGGGACUGAGAUACGGCCCAGACUCCUACGGGAGGCAGCAGUGGGGAAUAUUGCACAAUGGGCGAAAGCCUGAUGCAGCGACGCCGCGUGGGGGAUGACGGCCUUCGGGUUGUAAACCUCUUUCACCAUCGACGAAGGUCCGGGUUUUCUCGGGCUGACGGUAGGUGGAGAAGAAGCACCGGCCAACUACGUGCCAGCAGCCGCGGUAAUACGUAGGGUGCGAGCGUUGUCCGGAAUUACUGGGCGUAAAGAGCUCGUAGGUGGUUUGUCGCGUUGUUCGUGAAAUCUCACGGCUUAACUGUGAGCGUGCGAGCGAUACGGGCAGACUUGAGUACUGCAGGGGAGACUGGAAUUCCUGGUGUAGCGGUGGAAUGCGCAGAUAUCAGGAGGAACACCGGUGGCAAAGGCGGGUCUCUGGGCAGUAACUGACGCUGAGGAGCGAAAGCGUGGGGAGCGAACAGGAUUAGAUACCCUGGUAGUCC